rnacentral:rRNA from 1 species
ACGGGGGCCCGCACAAGCGGAGGAACAUGUGGUUUAAUUCGAUGAUACGCGAGGAACCUUACCCGGGCUUGAAAGUUAGUGACGAGAGUGGAAACACUUUUUCCCUUCGGGGCACGAAACUAGGUGCUGCAUGGUUGUCGUCAGCUCGUGCCGUGAGGUGUCGGGUUAAGUCCCAUAACGAGCGCAACCCCUAUCGAUAGUUACCAGCGAGUAGAGUCGGGGACUCUAUCGAGACUGCCGGUGUAAACCGUGAGGAAGGUGGGGAUGACGUCAAAUCAGCACGGCCCUUACGUCCGGGGCGACACACGUGUUACAAUGGAUGGUACAGAGGGUAGCUACCUAGUGAUAGGAUGCCAAUCUCAAAAGCCAUUCUCAGUUCGGAUUGGAGGCUGGAACUCGCCUCCAUGAAGUUGGAUUCGCUAGUAAUCGCAUAUCAGCCAUGAUGCGGUGAAUACGUUCCCGGGCCUUGUACACACCGCCCGUCAAGCCAUGGAAGUUUGGGGUGCCUGAAGUGCGUGACCGCAAGGAGCGUCCUAGGGCAAAACAGAUAACUGGGGCU